rnacentral:rRNA from 1 species
CAAUAGCGUAUAUUAAAGUUGUUGCAGUUAAAAAGCUCGUAGUUGGAUUUCUGGGAGGAUGCCAAUGUCCGCCCUCGUGCGUGUGCAGCGGCGUCUUUCCAUCCUUCUGUUGACAUCUCUUGGCAUUCAUUUGCUGGUGAUGGGCUCAGAUAUUUUACCUUGAGAAAAUUAGAGUGUUUCAGGCAGGCUAGGCCGGAAUACAUUAGCAUGGAAUAAUGGAAUAGGACUACGGUCUCUUUGUUGGUUUGAGGGACUGCAGUAAUGAUUAAUAGGGAUAGUUGGGGGCAUUAGUAUUUAAUAGUCAGAGGUGGAAUUCUCGGAUUUGUUAAAGACUAACUUAUGCGAAAGCAUUUGCCAAGGAUGUUUUCAUUAA